rnacentral:hammerhead_ribozyme from 1 species
AUCUAACUAACGAGUCCCAAAUGGAACGAAACGUGCGUCCUGGAU